rnacentral:rRNA from 1 species
GACGAACGCUGGCGGCGUGCUUAACACAUGCAAGUCGAGCGAACGGACCAGAAUCUUGCUUCUCUCAUGUUAGCGGCGGACGGGUGAGUCACACGUGGAUAACCCACCUAUAUGACUGGGAUAACUUCGAGAAACCGGAGCUAAUACCGGAUAAUCUUUUGAACCGCAUGGUUCUAAAGUGAAUGACGGUCUUGCUGUCACUUCUCGAUGUAUCCGCGCUGCAUUAGCUAGUUGGUAGGGUAACGGCUUACCAAGGCAACGAUGCAUAGCCGAGGUGAGAGGGUGAUGGGCGACACUGGAGGUGAGACACCGUACUGAGUCCUAAGGGAGGCAGCAGUAGGGAAGGGUCGGCAAUGGGCGGAAGCAUGACGAAGGGGCGGCGCGUGAGUGAUGAAGGGCUGCGGAGCGGAAAACUCUGUUAUGAGGGAAAAACAUAUGUGUAAGUAACUGAGCACAUCGUGACGGUACCGGAUAAGAAAGCAACGGCUAACUACGUG